rnacentral:rRNA from 1 species
UGGGGAAUAUUGCACAAUGGGCGAAAGCCUGAUGCAGCAACGCCGCGUGAGUGAUGAAGGCCUUCGGGUUGUAAAGCUCUGUCUUCUGGGACGAUAAUGACGGUACCAGAGGAGGAAGCCACGGCUAACUACGUGCCAGCAGCCGCGGUAAUACGUAGGUGGCAAGCGUUGUCCGGAUUUACUGGGCGUAAAGGAUGCGUAGGCGGAUACUUAAGUCAGAUGUGAAAAUCCCGGGCUUAACUUGGGAACUGCAUUUGAAACUGGGUAUCUAGAGUGCGGGAGAGGAAAGUGGAAUUCCUAGUGUAGCGGUGAAAUGCGUAGAGAUUAGGAAGAACACCAGUGGCGAAGGCGACUUUCUGGACCGUAACUGACGCUGAGGCAUGAAAGCGUGGGG